AUUUCUAUCUAUGGAUCAACAUGAAAAACAGAGAAGCAGGAGCAGAUCAUCUUCCCACAUUGCUCUCUCUCGGCCACCACUGCCACCGCUCACAUCGCUGGCCUUCCCCUCUCUUCACAAGGAUAGGAGGAGCAGUAGUUCAAACUUGUGCCUAGUGAUGCACACUAAUCUCAUGCAAGAGUAAUGAUAAAGCAAUCACUGCAUUUUCGUCAACUGGCAUGGAUCCGUGUAGUGUACUUCCGGAAGAUGAGUGGUUCAACGAAGUCUGUCAAGACGCGAUGGAGAAGCUGAGUGGUCAACCGAAGAACAGUAUUAACAGGGAACGCGAUCUCAACAGUCAAACUGCUUCAGUUUCAGCUCAAUCUAUCUCAUCCAUGAGAUCUCAUGGAAGUUCCUGAGCCAAGUCGUUGCAGCAUCUGUACAUUAUAGUAUUAUACUGCAUUGCGUGGUUUGUGAUGGGUAAAUGCCUUGUAGUAUUUGCAUGGAAAUUUUUUUUUGUUUUCCUUUUUAAAUGGUAAAAGCAGUAGAUUUGUAGCCAUAAAUUUGAUUUCUUGGAAGGCUAGAAAUUCUUUAUGUUUCUUAA